AUUGAACGCUGGCGGCAGGCCUAACACAUGCAAGUCGAGCGGAGUGGCGAACGGGUGAGUAACACGUGGGUGACCUGCCCUGCACUACGGGAUAAGCCUGGGAAACUGGGUCUAAUACCGGACAGUGUGGGAUGGGCCCGCGGCCUAUCAGCUUGUUGGUGGGGUAAUGGCCUACCAAGGCGGCGACGGGUAGCCGGUCUGAGAGGGUGGACGGCCACAAUGGGACUGAGACACGGACCAGACGCCUACGGGGGGCAAGAGUGGUGAGCAUUGCGCAAUGGGGGGGAGCCUGAUGCAGCUACGCCGCGUGUGGGAUGACGGCCUUCGGGUUGUAAACUCCUUUCACCAUCGACGCGGUAGAUGCAGAAGAAGCACCGGCUAACUACGUGCCAGCAGCCGCGGUAAUAC
rnacentral:rRNA from 1 species